rnacentral:rRNA from 1 species
UACAGGGGGGGCAAGCGUUGUUCGGAAUUACUGGGCGUAAAGGGCUCGUAGGCGGCCAACUAAGUCAGACGUGAAAUCCCUCGGCUUAACCGGGGAACUGCGUCUGAUACUGGAUGGCUUGAGAUUGGGAGAGGGAUGCGGAAUUCCAGGUGUAGCGGUGAAAUGCGUAGAUAUCUGGAGGAACACCGGUGGCGAAGGCGACAUCCUGGACCAACACUGACGCUGAGGAGCGAAAGCCAGGGGAGCAAACGGG